CAGUGAGUGGGAAACAAAGUCAGAAG
rnacentral:piRNA from 1 species